rnacentral:rRNA from 1 species
AUCGAACGCUGGCGGCAUGCCUUACACAUGCAAGUCGAACGGCAGCACGGGAGCAAUCCUGGUGGCGAGUGGCGAACGGGUGAGUAAUAUAUCGGAACGUGCCCAGUCGUGGGGAUAACGUAGCGAAAGCUACGCUAAUACCGCAUACGAUCUAUGGAUGAAAGCGGGGGAUCGCAAGACCUCGCGCGAUUGGAGCGGCCGAUAUCAGAUUAGGUAGUUGGUGAGGUAAAGGCUCACCAAGCCGACGAUCUGUAGCUGGUCUGAGAGGACGACCAGCCACACUGGGACUGAGACACGGCCCAGACUCCUACGGGAGGCAGCAGUGAGGAAUAUUGGGACAAUGGGCGCAAGCCUGAUCCAGCCAUGCCGCGUGCAGGAUGACGGCCUCGGUU